rnacentral:misc_RNA from 1 species
GAUGAAGAACGCAGCGAAAUGCGAUAAGUAAUGUGAAUUGCAGAAUUCCGUGAAUCAUCGAAUCUUUGAACGCACAUUGCGCCCCCUGGCAUUCCGGGGGGCAUGCCUGUCCGAGCGUCAUUUCUGCCCUCCAGCCCGGCUGGGUGUUGGGCGCUGUCCCCCCGGGGACACGCCCCAAAGGCAGUGGCGGCGCCGCGUCGGGUCCUCGAGCGUAUGGGGCUUUGUCACCCGCUCGGGACGGACUCGUCGGCGCUGGUCUUCCUCCAGGCGAGCCUUCGGGGCUCGUCUUCCUUCGGUUGACCUCGGAUCAGGUAGGGUUACCCGCUGAACUUAAGCAUAUCAAUAAGCGGAGGA